GGCAGUUUCCCAUCAUCUCAGUGACAGUUAACAAAGGUUUAUUAUAGCUGGCCCAAAUGGCUGCCACAGCAAGCUCUGCUGCUCAUGGGCCCUAUGUCCCCAGCCCUGGGACCUAGGGAUAAGUUUGGUUGCAGACAUUG